rnacentral:rRNA from 1 species
GUAGCCGGACUGAGAGGUUGAACGGCCACAUUGGGACUGAGACACGGCCCAGACUCCUACGGGAGGCAGCAGUGGGGAAUAUUGCACAAUGGGGGAAACCCUGAUGCAGCGACGCCGCGUGGAGGAAGAAGGUCUACGGAUUGUAAACUCCUGUUGUUGAGGAAGAUAAUGACGGUACUCAACAAGGAAGUGACGGCUAACUACGUGCCAGCAGCCGCGGUAAAACGUAGGUCACAAGCGUUGUCCGGAAUUACUGGGUGUAAAGGGAGCGCAGGCGGGAAGACAAGUUGGAAGUGAAAUCUAUGGGCUCAACCCAUAAACUGCUUUCAAAACUGUUUUUCUUGAGUAGUGCAGAGGUAGGCGGAAUUCCCGGUGUAGCGGUGGAAUGCGUAGAUAUCGGGAGGAACACCAGUGGCGAAGGCGGCCUACUGGGCACCAACUGACGCUGAGGCUCGAAAGUGUGGGUAGCAAACAGGAUUAGAUACCCUGGUAGUCCACACCGUAAACGAUGAUUACUAGGUGUUGGAGGAUUGACCCCUUCAGUGCCGCAGUUAACACAAUAAGUAAUCCACCUGGGGAGUACGACCGCAAGGUUGCAACUCAAAGGAAUUGACGG